rnacentral:lncRNA from 1 species
UUAAAUUGUUGAAAUAAUAAAAAUACAAGGGUUUGUUGUGAAAUUAUUGCAAAUUAGGCUGUAUUGAAUGCCAUGAAUAUUCAACUAGCAUGAGUUUGCAUUAAAAAUGGUUAAUUUGCAUGUUUUGGGCUCAGAGACUAAAUUGAAUAAAAGUAAAAUUUUAGGGGUAAUUUUGUAAAAAUAUAAAAAUACUAAAUUUUAUAAAAUAAAUUAUUUUAUUGUUUAAAUUAAUAAAUUGAAUGAAAUUAUUAAUUUAGAUCAAGAUUGGGUGGAAAAUCGAGGAAAAUAUAAAAUUAUCAAAAUGCUCCUGAAUCUUGGUAUUUUUGCAAUUUAGCCAGGUAAGUUUAUACGGUUAAAUUUAACAUUUGUAUUAAUUGGUGAUUGGUAUUAUAUAUAUUCUACUGUUGGAAAUGAAUUAUUGUUUGAAUUAUAGUAUUGAAUUGGAUAUUCGGUUUGAAUUGAACGCGAGAUUUAAAUACAUUUGUAUUUUGGUGUAUGACGGGGGUUUGGAGUGGAGAUUUAGAGGGAGAUAUCGGUAUAUUACCCAAGUAAACCGGGGUUCAACAUUUGUUGCGAACUCUCGUGUUUUACUUUCUGUUUGGAGUGAUUUUUGUGGAUUAGCUCUUACAAGCUUCUGUUCAGCUUUCACGAGCUUCUGUUGGCGUGUUCUGGUGGAUUAGCUCUAUGAACUUCUGUUGAUGAUGUACUCUUAUCCGUAAGUCGUUCUUUGAAUCGAAAAUCUCGAUAAGGUAAUCUGUUUAAUGAAUUUUUAAAGAUUUAUUAUUUGUUGAAUAUUGAUCUGAACAUAAAUGAAUUCAAUAGUUGAGAUUAUGGAUGAUGCAUAGGUUUAUGCUAAGCUUAUAGUUACAUUAUCUCAUGUUUAAUAUUAAUGAUAUACAAUGAAAUGAUAAAUGAAAAAAAUGGGAAUAUGCUUAUAUUCAUGAAAAGCUGGUAUGAAUCAAAAGGUGAAUUUUUUAUAAAAUGGUUUAUCAUGCGAUUGACUCCAAAUGAGUUGUAUACUUAAAUGCACUAACUUGUGUAUCGAUGAUGGUGAUUAGGCUUAUGUCAAGCUUGAGAUCAUGAUUGAUGUUUAUGCUUAUAUCUGGUAUUAUAUAAAUGAAACGACUAAGAAAAAGUAAUGAAACGGUAAGUUCAUUAUUGAAAUGUGAUAUGACGAAAAAGGGAUUGAUGAAUUGAGUGAUGUACUUAUAUAUGAGAAAUUACGUAUGUUAUGAAUGAACUUACCUAUGAUGUGAAUAAAUAUACUAAUCAGUGAGUUGAUGUUGUUAUUUAAGUUUAUGCUUACUAAGUGGAAUGGAAAGUAAGUAAAGGAAGUAAUUCAUAGUUCUUUGAAAAGGUUAAUGAUAGUAUAUAAUGUUUAUAAAAUCCUAUUAAGUUAGGAAUGAAAAAUAUAUAUUUAUGAUGUUGAUAGACUUACUCAUUUAUAAGUUGAUGGUUAUGUAGUUGACAAAUCUUGAGGCAUUGGUAUAGGUUUAUAUUUAAUCUAUAAAGUUCAUUGAUGAAAUGAAAUGUUAUGUUUAAAGUUUAUACAAGCUUACUAAGCAUUCAUUGCUUACACAUUUAUUUUUCCUUUACUUUUCAGAUUAUCGGAAGCUCGAUCGGGUUGGAAACUUGUCGGAGCUAUAUCACACUAUCCAUCAG